rnacentral:rRNA from 1 species
UACAGAGGAUGCAAGCGUUAUCCGGAAUGAUUGGGCGUAAAGCGUCUGUAGGUGGCUUUUUAAGUCCGCCGUCAAAUCCCAGGGCUCAACUCUGGACAGGCGGUGGAAACUACCAAGCUGGAGUACGGUAGGGGCAGAGGGAAUUUCCGGUGGAGCGGUGGAAUGCGUAGAGAUCGGAAAGAACAUCGGUGGCGAAGGCGCUCUGCUGGACCAUAACUGACACUCAGGGACGAAAGCUAGGGGAGCGAAUGGG